GGGGUUUUAGCUUAAUUGGUAGAGCAUGGUCUUUGCAAGACUAAGGUUGCAGGUUCAAGCCCAGUAAACUCCA
rnacentral:tRNA from 2 species